AGGCACGAUUGAGGUGGUC
rnacentral:siRNA from 1 species